UCUAAUAUGACAGAAUUUAUGUGAUGAACUUAAAAUUCAUUUAUAAAGAUUAAUUAAUAUCUUUUUUUAGAA
rnacentral:tRNA from 1 species